rnacentral:rRNA from 1 species
GUAGGGAAUAUUGGGCAAUGGAUGCAAGUCUGACCCAGCCAUCCCGCGUGCCGGAAGAAGGCCCUCAGGGUUAUAAACGGCUUUUGACGGUGAAGAACCGACAGGAUGCGUCCUGUUUUGACGGUAGCCGUUGAAUAAGCACCGGCUAACUCCGUGCCAGCAGCCGCGGUAAUACGGAGGGUGCGAGCGUUGUCCGGAUUUAUUGGGUUUAAAGGGUGCGUAGGCUGGAAGGUCAGUCAGCGGUGAAAAGCUAUCGCUUAACGAUAGUCUUGCCGCAGAUACUUCCUUUCUUGGAUGAGGAGGAGGCCACUGGAACGGAUGGUGUAGCGGUGAAAUGCAUAGAUAUCAUCCAGAACACCGAUUGCGAAGGCAGGUGGCUGUACCUUAAUCGACGCUGAUGCACGAAAGCAUGGGGAGCAAACAGGAUUAGAAACCCGGGUAGUCC